rnacentral:rRNA from 1 species
AGCGGCGGACGGGUGAGUAACGCGUGGGUAACCUGCCUCAUACAGGGGGGUAACAGUUGGAAACGGCUGCUAAUACCGCAUAAGCGCACAGUACCGCAUGGUACCGUGUGAAAAACUCCGGUGGUAUGAGAUGGACCCGCGUCUGAUUAGCUAGUUGGUGGGGUAACGGCCUACCAAGGCGACGAUCAGUAGCCGACCUGAGAGGGUGACCGGCCACAUUGGGACUGAGACACGGCCCAA